AGUUGAAGUGGGGAGAGACCAUCCAUUUCACUGUCCAGUGCCUACCUAGCUCUUUAUUGGCUCCUUCAACUAGAAGUGGACAGGGCCAUACUUUUUUUUUUUUUUUUGGGGGGUUGAGCUUGGGACCUUGUGCUUUGGAGGCGGGCGGUGGAACCACUGGGCUAAAUCCCUGGCCUGAAAGGGCCAUUCUUAUGACAUCAUAGGGGAAACAGAGGCAGAGAGUGUUCACCUGAGUCGUCCUGAAGUCAGAACCGGAGUUGUGAGUUUCUGGCUUUGAGGGAAUGCAUUCCCCCCUCCAACCCGGGCUUGGGGGCUGCAGGAGGAGGGGCAUGGAGAACAAGGGGGGGUGGCUAGAGGGAAGGCAGUAAAUCCCUGCACUCCUGAGAUUGCCUUUGAGAGCGCCUUUGGGCCGGCUCCUCCGAGGCUGGGGAGGCUGCGGGAGGAUGGGUAAGAUUUAAACCAGUCACUGCUCCGAGGUACCGGAGAGGAACAAAAGAGGCUUUAUGGUUGGCGAAACCCUGUGUCCUUGGAGAAAGCUGGUUCCCGUUUUCCUGAGGGGGAGCCCAGAGCUUGAAAUGCCGCGGUUGGCACUUCGAGAAGGAACUGGAAGAUAAAGACGGCACCUGGAGAGAUAGUGGAAACACAGAACAGGACUGGGGAAGCCCUUGGGAAAGCCAGCUGCAGAAACAGACACCCCAAUGCUAUUUCCAUAUAGCUCUAUAUAUACAACAAAAAGAGAAAAUAUGAAUAUUACGUAUCAGUGCAUGCCUUGUCGAGGACGUGGUCCCUUCCCUUUCUGCACCUUGCGAUGUGAACUCUGAUACUUUGUAAUGUCUGGGGCACCAGAAGAGAGAUGCCCGCUGCUGUGUACCUAGAAAAUUUGCAAAGACUGGUGGGGAGUAGCCUCGGCACCUACCAAUUGCCCAGGCAUAGAUGCUGGUGGAAUUAAGAGGUAAAAUUGCAAAAGGCAAGAGAGAACAAACGAGUGAGUGAGGACUUGGGGCCGACUCUUUAGGGGCAUUCUGGGGUACGUCCAUUUUGUGACAUGUCCUAGCCUCUCUCUGUGUCCUCACUGAGAUAGAUUGCUAGAUCCUAUCAUCACGGCCAGAGAAAUGGGGAUUUCCCCCUCCCUUCUCCCAGUCUGGUGUCUCUGGUGCUUCACUUUCAAUUUUUCUGGUGCUAGUGUGUUUUUCCUGGCACUACCACGGUCCUCUGUUGACAGACCUGGAAGACCAGGGGGAUGAGAGAGUUCUCUAUUUUGCUGUUUCACUUUUUUUUUUUUUUUUUAAGGGAUGAUUCGCAAAAGUGCCACUUGAGAGUCUCCUCUCUUUCUCUGUGCAGGGGUGAAAGCCCAGAGGUGCUGGGAAGCAAACCCUGGAGUCUGGGAGGGACGAGGAGAGGGGCUGGCUGGUGAGGAGAUGAAAAGCUGACCUUGAGUGCGGCGGAUGGGCUGCUGUCUCCUCUGCUCCUGCAGAAGUAUCCCGGGAGUCCAGCCCAUGGCCUCCUUCUGCUCCCCAAGGGGAUUUCAGGACUUAGGUUUUAUGGGUUAAAGAGCCAAGAAAUGGCUACUUUCCGUUGGAGGGUGAUUUAUAAGAAAGGGACAUUGGGAGAGGGAGCGGGUCAUUCAGAUACUAUGUACCCACACCUCACUGACUGUCAGAGGGCUGACCCCCUUCCCCAUAAGCUACUAUUUUCAGAAGUUUCUAGAAGGGCUAAAAAGAAGAUGUGUGCUGGACUGAGACUUGGCUGCAAAGGCUCUGUAGGGAGCCACGGCUAUUUUUUGCUUUCGUUUUUAAAAAUUGAAGGAAAGCAGGUAUUAUUUCUCUGGGUGGGCAGAGUGUCACAUGGCAACUGCCAUUUUCAAAGCUGAGACAAGGUGUGGGGCUGCAGGCUCAGAGUCCAUCUACAAGGCUGACUUUGCAAGUCACCAGCUAGUGCCUAGGGACAGGGCCCGCUGGGCUGGGGAGCAGACACCCCUCGUUUAAGAAGCCAGCGGCAGAAGCAGGGGUUGUUACAGUACAGGGGGCUGAAAGGGGAGUGAUCUUUCGCUGAAAACCACCAGGUCCCCAAGUCUGUACAACCUGUCAGGGUUGGGGCAAGCUGAGAGGUGGAUUUCUUUCUUCUGUUUUUCUAAUCCAUGCCUUAUGUUUACCGAAAGAGUCCUUUCAGAAAAAAAGGAAAAAA